rnacentral:rRNA from 1 species
ACGCUAGCUACAGGCUUAACACAUGCAAGUCGAGGGGAAACGGCAUUUAGUGCUUGCACUGAAUGGACGUCGACCGGCGCACGGGUGAGUAACGCGUAUCCAACCUUCCCAUUACUUUGGGAUAACCUGCCGAAAGGCAGACUAAUACCUCAUAGUCUUCGAUGACGGCAUCAGAUUUGAAGUAAAGAUUUAUCGGUAAUGGAUGGGGAUGCGUCUGAUUAGCUUGUUGGCGGGGUAACGGCCCACCAAGGCAACGAUCAGUAGGGGUUCUGAGAGGAAGGUCCCCCACAUUGGAACUGAGACACGGUCCAAACUCCUACGGGAGGCAGCAGUGAGGAAUAUUGGUCAAUGGACGUAAGUCUGAACCAGCCAAGUAGCGUGCAGGAUGACGGCCCUAUGGGUUGUAAACUGCUUUUGUAUGGGGAUAAAGUCAAUCACGUGUGAUUGUUUGCAGGUACCAUACGAAUAAGGACCGGCUAAUUCCGUGCCAGCAGCCGCGGUAAUACGGAAGGUUCGGGCGUUAUCCGGAUUUAUUGGGUUUAAAGGGAGCGUAGGCCGGAGGUUAAGUGUGUUGUGAAAUGUAGACGCUCAACGUCUGAAUUGCAGCGCAUACUGGUUUCCUUGAGUACGCACAACGUUGGCGGAAUUCGUCGUGUAGCGGUGAAAUGCUUAGAUAUGACGAAGAACUCCGAUUGCGAAGGCAGCUGACGGGAGCGCAACUGACGCUGAAGCUCGAAGGUGCGGGUAUCGAACAGGAUUAGAUACCCUGGUAGUCCGCACAGUAAACGAUGGAUGCCCGCUGUUGGUACCUAGUAUCAGCGGCUAAGCGAAAGCAUUAAGCAUCCCACCUGGGGAGUACGCCGGCAACGGUGAAACUCAAAGGAAUUGACGGGGGCCCGCACAAGCGG